rnacentral:lncRNA from 1 species
AUAGUUGGCAGUGGGUGGAGGGGGGCGAGGGGGAUUAUUAUCCUCAUUUUACAGAUGAGGAAGCUCAAGUCCAGAGAGGUUAAAGUGACUUUUGUGAAUGUCACACCUCUGCUACAGUGCUCUAAUAAGCCCACUGCACCAAACUUCCAAAUUGGUAAGAUCAUGGCAUCCUUUUUCAGUGAAGAGUGUGUCCCGGAUGCAAAUAGCCAUUAAGUGGUUCAUAUGGUUCUGUGGUUGAGAUGGGCCCUAAGAAGCUGUGAUCUUUCCUCCCAUCUCAUGGUAACCUAGGGGUUAGAGGUAAGGCUACAGUCUGCAACUGAGGUCUGGACUCAGCCCAGGCAAGAACCAGAGACCCGGUCUCCUGGCCCCAGCCCAGUGUUAUUUCCACUCUGACACUGACCUAGGGCAAGGCCCUCCCAGUUUUUUCAGCCUCCCUAUCUGUAGUGAGAGGGUGUGGGAGAGAAAGCCUCUAGGGCCCCUUCCAGGGUCCAGGCUGUAGCUGUGAUCAGUUCUGAGCUCAGGAUGUGAAGGUGAAGAAUGAGAGCAGGAAGUUCCAGGCUCCAGGGGGUGGGGCAGGCCCCACCAGGGGAGGCAGAGGGCACAGAAGCCACCCCUGACCGACUUCACAAGAUAAGGCCCACCCUCACCUCCCCACUUCCUCCUCUCCAGCCCCAGGGUCUCCUUUGCUUCCACAUCUUGUUGACUUUUGAAUUUACAAGGUGUGCCAGUUGCCAAGGCCCCUGGUUGAUUACACCCCCGGACCUGCCUUAGGAAAGCAUCCUCCUCUCCAAGCCCCCACCAGCAACUGGGAGGUGAGGCUGGGAACGCAAGAUGGGAUCUCUCAGGUGCUGGAAAGAAAUUAAAGAGGAAACUUAUCAAAAAGAGGAUGGAAGAGAGAAAGCAAAGUUUGUCUCUUUGCAGCUCUGAAAAGCCCAGGCAAGAGACCACAGACACUUCUGGGGACAUCUCCCAACUUGCUGGGAGCCAGCAGCAGCCUAGGCCUCAAGCAUUUGCAACAAACUAGACCCAUGAAAAGACAGAGCUCCAUAGCUUUGGACAAACCAUGCCUCCAGCAAGCCCUCCCUGGUACCAACAAGAAGCAGGGACCCUUCUUUCUCCUUAAGACUCCCAACAUUCCUGCCUGAACCAUCACUCGAUGAGACAAGAGCCAUGUCCUCAUCUAAGUCUUGUCAUAAUACUCCUAGGACUCUCUAAGCCUUGUAAUCUUUCUUCUUGCUGUCAAAGUGUUUUGAGAUCUAGUCUCUCCUAUGGUUCUGCAGCAUAAUGAAGCUCAUCAAGUGCUGGUAGCAUUGCGUUUAUCCUCAGCAUUCUUGACCUAGUAGGUCAAGAAAGUAUUACCAUUCCCAUUUAUAAGAUGAUGUCCCCGAGACCCAGAGGGGAGGAGGAACAGAAAGAAAAAAGAAAUUAUACUAUAACAGAACCUUCUGGUACCAGGCCCUGUGCUAAGCCCUUUGUCUCAUUUCAUCCUGACACACGUAGAUGCUACCCCACUUUCCGGGAAAGUGAACUGUGGCUCCUAAAGGAAAUCCGACCUGUUCUAGGUUCCAUAGACAGCAGGAGGAGGAAGACAUUGAUCAUGCAUCUACUGUGUGCUAAGUAUGUUCAUACACAUAUAUGCCUUAUUCUGCCAUCACACACACACAAAACCCUAAGGUGGGUUUUUUUUAAUGCCUGCUUGCCAGAUGUGUAAACUAAGGCUCAGAGGCUGGGGUGGCUGUCCCAGGGGAGUGGGGCUGGGCCCCAGGCCUCAUUGGUGUGGAUGAAGCACUCUUGCCCGACCCCAGCAGCCAUGGCAAGACUCAGCCCAUAUCCUUUCAGGGAGUGGCAAAGGAAACACUGGGCCCUUUUACAGGGUUUCCAUGUGCAUGACCGGGAGCCCCUAAGGAUGGCCGAUCUGCCACGGAUGGGAGGAACGGUUUAUUUUUUCUGUGGGCCGCUCUGGAGCCUUUCAAAGGUGUGAAGUUCCAUGGCCUGCAAAAGCUGAUUCUACUGGCUAUCCAAAGCAGACCUGCCUGGGCCCCAGCCCCUGCAGCCCCCACAGUCCCCACAGCCCCCCACAGCCCCCGCAGACCCCGGCCUCUUCAUAUGCCGCCCAUGGGAACUCCCUCUGGCCCACCUGGCCUCUCACACGCUGAAAGGCUGCAGAGUGACAGGCCGGCAACUGGACUCUGAUGUUUAUUCACCAAACACAGAGACGGCCCUCCAGGCCUCUGCUACCUCAGGGAAGAGGGGUCACCAGCCCACCCCCAGGCCAGGAUCCCAGCACACUCACCUCUGGAGACUGGCCAUGAGGAGGAGCAUCCAAGCUGCUCCUGCAGCGAGAGAGACUCUGGUUAGACACAAGGAAGAACUAGCUGCCACUGAGGGACAUUCAGCUCAGAGAGAGAAGCGGAAUCUCCUGAAGUGCCAUGGCAUCUUGGAGGUGCUUUACGUGAUCCUGGGGCUGGGAGAUUCUGCAUGGGAACUGAGCUGGAGAAAAGAUCAUUCAAGGAAGAUAGCCUCGUCUUUUGGCGGUCACUGCACAGACUCUGUCUUUAUAGUGCUUAAAUAAAAAGCAGGAGGUUUCAUAUUUAAAUUGUUUAUCUUCGGCUAGUUCUUCUACAGAGCUUUGGGAUGAAUUCAUUCCGAAGGCAAUAUUUUCUAAAUUACCAGGCUGACUCUGAAGCCGACUUUGUUUUGCUUUUGGUUUAUUCCUAAAUGUAAUAGAAUCCCAAGUGUUAAUCUCCAGUUGAUACCUAACCAUCCUCUUCCACUAUGCUGUCCCGGUGGGGAUUUAUGACUGGGUGAUGAGCCACCACGUCUCUCUGAACCCCGAUGAGGACAUGGAUAACAUCAUCAACUCAUCACUGAACCAUCGUCAUCAACCCAGCUUUAAUCCCCAAGACUGAUAACCAUCGGAGGCUGUUAAUUCCCAGCAAAUUAUCUAAUCCACAUGUUGUCCGAUCUGUGUAAACCCAGCCCAUGAGGAUCAUAAAAUAAAUAAGCAUGAAAUGGCUUACAGUUUCGAAUCUCCUUUCACCUAGAUAGGCCAGGCUGCAUGAUUGCAGCCACUGUCGUGGCUCCCACCUCCUUCCAAGAGGGAAUGGGCAGCAUGGGUUCCUAUGUGGGCCUGCUUGAUGCUGUUUCUA